AGCACGCAGUUGACUUCUCUGAUAACUUCAGCAGACCUCGAGACAAUGGCAAACAGGGACGGAUACUGUCCGAUAAUGCCCACCACGAAGGAAACUCAGGAUCUCUGUGAUCAGGUGAAGUCCCAAGUGGAGGAAAAUACAAGAAAGAAUUAUGUGGAAUUCAAAGCAUUUAAAUACAGGAGUCAAGAUGUUGCGGGAGGAACCAACUACCUUAUCAAGGUUAUGUUGGAGGAGCGAACUACACUCAUCUGGAAGUCACCCUAGAAAUUCUGCGUGAUGGACAAAAUGUUUUGCUGAUUAAUGUACUAGAGCAUCAGACCAAAGACAACCUCCUCGUACCUUUUUAGAAACUGAUCCCAAAACCAGUUUCAACAGUAAAAUACUUAAAGGUGCAAUAUGUAAUACUGACAGCUAGUGUUGAAAAUAGUUACUGCAGUACAAAUUCAAAAUACUGGAGAGCGUCAUCUCCCCCACCCCCGCCUCCCCAGACUCAAAGUUCAUGGAGGUUGCCAGGCUGAGACCGCAGCAUCCACAACAAUGUUGC